rnacentral:lncRNA from 1 species
AAAGAGAAAGGACGACAAUAGUGAGAGUGGAGAGAAGCUUCAAUUCGUUCCCCUUAUAGCUUCGAUUUGGAGCUAGGGUUCAAGAGAGAAGCUUCGAUUUGACGAGUUCGAGAGAACGAGUGAGAGAGAGGAAGGCUGAGAGUGAGAGAGAGAGAGAGGACGGCUGAGAGAAGCGGGUGGUGGUGAGUUGAUUUUAGGUUGCUGGCGUGAGAGGAAUCAAUCGAGUUUGGUGUGAGAGGAAGGCUGAGGGUUUGUUCGCGUGAAUGUUUGGGUAUCGAG